GUGUUUGUAUAGUGUGUGUGUAUAUAAUGCAGUGUGUUUGUGUAGUGUGCAUUAUAUAAACACACUACACAAACACACUGCAUUAUAUACACACACACUGCAUUA